UCCGGCGUAGCUCAGUGGCAGAGCGAUCGCGUCGCGGGUUCGAUUCCCGUCGCCGGAG
rnacentral:tRNA from 1 species